rnacentral:rRNA from 1 species
UACGGAGGAUGCGAGCGUUAUCCGGAUUCAUUGGGUUUAAAGGGUGCGUAGGCUGAAGAUUAAGUCAGGGGUGAAAGUUUGCGGCUCAACCGUAAAAUUGCCUUUGAUACUGAUUUUCUUGAGUACAUUUGAGGUGGGCGGAAUGUGAUGUGUAGCGGUGAAAUGCAUAGAUAUAUCACAGAACACCGAUUGCGAAGGCAGCUCACUAAACUGUAACUGACGCUGAUGCACGAAAGCGUGGGUAUCGAACAGG